GAUGAAGAACGUAGCGAAAUGCGAUAAGUAAUGUGAAUUGCAGAAUUCAGUGAAUCAUCGAAUCUUUGAACGCAUCUUGCGCUCCUUGGUAUUCUGAGGAGCAUGCCUGUUUGAGUGUCAUUAAAUUCUCAACUACACUGACUUUGAAUUGGUGUGGGUUGGAUUUGGGGGGAAAAUUGUUGUGGGCUUUUUGUAUAGUCUGCUCCCCUGAAAUUGAUUAGCGGUACCUUUGUGGAACUGUCUACAGGUGUGAUAAUUAUCUACAUCUUAGACAUCUGCUGGAAUGCUGCUUUCUAAACCUUACUUGUAUUGACAAUCUUGACCUCAAAUCAGGUAGGACUACCCGCUGAACUUAAGCAUAUCAAUAAGCGGAGGA
rnacentral:misc_RNA from 1 species